UCUCUGCGCAGCUGCUACUUAAGCAACAGAGUGACAGAGUGAGGUCAGUGUUCCUUCACUCAACCACAGCCUCUGCUCAUGCGGUUUUUCAGAGCACUUUGAGUUUUUCGCCACCGGUCCGGUUUGCUGAAGGGGUGGCAGACUCGCGCAGUAUGGGGCUCAGUGGUGUCCGGCUGCUCCCGGCCUUGGUUGUCCUCUGUGCUCCCGUGAGUGCCGCAGUUGGUGAGUAGGCUCCUUGCGGACCUUCAGAGCUGUGAGAUUCCAGGGUUGCGG
rnacentral:lncRNA from 1 species